rnacentral:rRNA from 1 species
CACCGCGGUUAUACGAGAGGUCCGAGUUGAUAAAAAACGGCGUAAAGAGUGGUUAAGAAAAUAAAAGAAAUAGGGCCGAAGAGUUUCAUUGCAGUUAUAAGCUUUACGAAAUCAUUAAGUACAUUUACGAAAGUAGCCCUAACAAUACUCUGACUCCACGAGAGCCAUAAGA